CUUGAUGUCUUAGGUAAUUAUCCUUAGGCCAAGAUCCUGUCACCUUAGGUCGAUCGGUAUCUCAGAUUAAUUGCUAAGUAAUUGAUUUCAGUUCCUAAACUUGUCUAGGUCACACCCAGCAAGGGUACUCCUGGGCCAUUAGCUCAGGUGGUUAGAGCGCACCCCUGAUAAGGGUGAGGUCCCUGGUUCAAGUCCAGGAUGGCCCAUUCGAUGUUGGGGGUAUAGCUCAGUUGGUAGAGCGCCUGCUUUGCAAGCAGGAUGUCAGCGGUUCGAGUCCGCUUACCUCCACUGAUCGACCUCCUGAUAGCGAAAUUCAAGGAGAUUGACUUUGCUUGAUGUGACCAUGACAUUUAUCUGAAUGAACCUAGCUUCUUAUCAUUCCAAUAUACAAAUUACAUUGGUUGAUAUGAUGCUGGGCUCCCUGGAAUUUAAACAUUUCAGAGAAUCUCAGUAGAACCUUGACAACUGCAUAGGUAAGUCUGGAAAGAAUAAAGCAUCUCAUGGAUGCAUUAUUUAAAUAAGGUAAAUUAAACUUAUCUUAUUUACUAAUGUUUAAUUCUUGAGUAAGAGCAGAGACUCUAUUUCGUUCUUUUAAUAUUUAAUUCAUAUUAAGAG
rnacentral:tRNA from 1 species